CCCCCCCCCCCCGCCAGGGAUCGCUAAUGAAGGACGAGGUACCUGGAGGGGAAAGGGGACCUCGAGGAGGGGACUUCGGAUGGUGUAAUUCCCUCCCGAAAUACCCGCUCCGGGAACAAGGUUUUUCUUCCGUCCCGGAUGAACGGAACCUUCCAUCCCGCACUUCUCAUAGAGACAUGCUGUCAGGUUGUGCAAUGGAUCGGUGUGUGUCCCUUGUAACAGGACGUGCCUUCCCCUCUGAAGAUCACACUCUGCCAACAGGAAAGGGUGAUGCUGGUCUCCUGUUUAAAAACCGAAUUCCCUACAGAGUCAGCCAUGAAGUCUCCAGCAGUCUGAAGGAUGCCUCAGGAGCUCAGCUCAUUUGUAAAGCCAAAAUCCAUGAAAUACUGAGAGGUCCAGAAAUGCUAACCAAACCUUUUCAAGUCCAGAUUAUCAACUGAUACUUCCUCAGGAGCCAGCUCUCUUACUCUUCGCAGUCCAUCAUGAGGAAAACUUCAGGGGGAAAAAAAAUUUUUUUUUAAUCUGAUAUAUGAAGAGCACCAUGGGUUCUCCAAUUCUUCUUCAAUUCACUGGUGAGCCAUGAACUAUGAACAGCCAGCAAUGAAUGCAGCAAGGAGAGCCCUAGACCCGCUGUUGGAGGCAGGCCUGGAAACCAAAAGCUCUGGUCUGCAGUGCCUGGGCUGUGUGGCAGGCUGGGAUUCUGUUUCCUGCAGAGAUGAGUACCCACACCUCCACUCAGGGCAGUGAAUGAGAAAGCUCUAGAUUUGGCAUCAGACCAGAGUAUCGGAAGACCUGCUCCAACUCAACAUACCAGUUAAUUAUUUGGGGAUAAUUAUUUGAUGGUGUUCUGUAGCCUCAAUUAAUUCCUAUAUCUGUUUUGUUUUUUUGUAUUUUUUUUCAAAUUAACUAGAAAACAAGAAGAAUAAUUAUAUUUUAUAUAUAUAUAUAUCCUUCCACUCACCACCACCCCCAUUCCAAUCACCAAACCAUUACUUUAUAGUCCUGAAGACUGGAUUAAAAGACUACUGGAAUUUA